AAGUCGUAACAAGGUUUCCGUAGGUGAACCUGCGGAAGGAUCAUUACCGAGUAACCGGGUCUCUUCUGGCCCAUACUCCCACCCUGUGUGUAUCUACCGCUUCUUCAGUUGCCUUGGCGGGUCUCUCCUCCCCACCAGAGGAUCCGGGUUCGCCCGGUCCGUGGGAGGUUCCGCCAGGGGGACUCUCCAAAACUCUUUUUUCAAAUCGGGUCAGUGUCUGAGAACAAAACGAAUAAAUGAAAACUUUCAACAACGGAUCUCUUGGUUCUG
rnacentral:misc_RNA from 1 species